UGACCAUUCACUGGAUGGCGAUCAUGCCAAUCCUUGACUCCUGGCAAAUGAGCUUAGAGCUGGCGCUGGAGGAAGUGGUCCCCGGUUGACCUUUAAGCUCCACCUACAGUCGCCAGCCCUUCAGGUUCCUUCCUGCCUGUACACCGCCAUCUCAGCCUCGGUCGUGGUGGGCCAGUCUGCAGGCCACCCCCUUCCAUUCCUGUCGUGGGGCCCACACCAGCAACUUCACAGACUCCUGUUCCCUGUGCAGCUGACAUCUCUGCCGCCCACACCCACACCCUGCGGUCUGUGCUGCCAACGGCAUCUCCUCCGCGACUCUAAGCUCGGCGGCUGCCAUCUUCCCCGUGGACAUCACUGCAGGCCCAUCACCGUCUGGCACAGUCUCUCCUGCCAUGUCUGCCACAGAGGAGCACGACUGGAUGCCAGGUGGCCUGGACAGGGCUGGUGGCAGGGCAGGCUGUGACCCCAGUCCCCUUGGGGUCCUGGCACCUGCUUGGGAGGGGACGGAUGGGGUUGAGGAGGCCGCGGCCCUUCUGGCCUACCUGAGGGUGUCAGGAGGCCUUCGCAGGGGGCACGGUGGGCCACAGGCCACAAUGGAAGAGUGGGCUAUAGAGCCGUUAGAGGAGGAGGAGUCUGAUUUCGAGCUGGAGGACCUGGAGGAGGAGGAGCACCUGUUGGAGGAGGUCGAGGAGGAGGAGACAGUAGAGAAUGAUGAGAGUGAGCAGGAAGGCGCAGCAGUGGUUGCAGGCCACAGGGACCCCUUGGAGCAGUUUGGGCCUGUGUUCUGGGGUCUGGUCCACUCCCUUCUACACAGUUUCUCCUACGAUGACCAUGUCCUGGUCUGGCCCCCUGGCCCCUGCCCGAUGGUCACGCACAGCUCCCAGCCUCCCUCCGGCCCUGGAGAGGGUCCCGCGCCUCUGCAGGAGCGGGAAGACCUGGCAGAGGGAGGCGAAGCCUCGCAGGUUCCGGUCCCAAAGUCUGUAUUAUACUUCACGAAAGAAGCGAGUGAUUAUCAGUAUGAAGAGUCUGAUGAAGAGGUCCAAGAAGCUGAAGGUGAGGAGGAGGACAGCGAUAAAAAACCAGAAGAAGGACCUGGAAAGGACCUGGACCCAGCAGAGGACAGCCCCGGAGAACCCAGCUGUCAAGCAUAGAAAGACAUGAUGGAGGAAGAAACAAUGGACGUGUCCCUCACGAAUGAGAUUUUCGGCUUCUCAGUAGCCAGUGGGAAUUUUAUCAACACUGGUUUUGUUCCAGAUUUCAUCAUGUGAAAUGUCUUAUCCACUGACAUCUGACUUUUUUUCUUACAUUUGUCAGAUAUAUUUGACUGCGUUUGUUCAUGAUAAAAAUAAAAAUUUGCUAGCCAUGGAUAAGCCGCAGAUUUUUCUGAUGUGUAACACUGAUGCAAAUCUUGUAUCUUUUUGUUUUUG
ensembl:lncRNA